rnacentral:rRNA from 1 species
UACAGAGGUCUCAAGCGUUGUUCGGAUUCAUUGGGCGUAAAGGGCGCGUAGGCGGGCAGGCAAGUCGAAGGUGAAAUCCCACGGCUCAACCGUGGAAGUGCCCCCGAUACUGCCUGUCUGGAGGGAGAUAGGGGCGUGCGGAACUUCCGGUGGAGCGGUGAAAUGCGUAGAUAUCGGAAGGAACACCGGCGGCGAAAGCGGCGCGCUGGAUCUCUUCUGACGCUGAGGCGCGAAAGCCAGGGGAGCGAACGGG